ACGAACGCUGGCGGCGUGCUUAACACAUGCAAGUCGAGCGGAAAGGCCCUGCUUGCAGGGUACUCGAGUGGCGAACGGGUGAGUAACACGUGGGUGAUCUGCCCUGCACUUCGGGAUAAGCCUGGGAAACUGGGUCUAAUACCGGAUAGGAGCCAUUUUUAGUGUGAUGGUUGGAAAGUUUUUUCGGUGUAGGAUGAGCUCGCGGCCUAUCAGCUUGUUGGUGGGGUAAUGGCCUACCAAGGCGGCGACGGGUAGCCGGCCUGAGAGGGUGGACGGCCACAUUGGGACUGAGAUACGGCCCAGACUCCUACGGGAGGCAGCAGUGGGGAAUAUUGCACAAUGGGCGCAAGCCUGAUGCAGCGACGCCGCGUGGGGGAUGACGGCCUUCGGGUUGUAAACUCCUUUCGCUAGGGACGAAGCUUUUUGUGACGGUACCUAGAUAAGAAGCACCGGCUAACUACGUG
rnacentral:rRNA from 1 species